GGAGAGAUGGCCGAGUGGUUUAAGGCGCACGCCUGGAAAGUGUGUAUACGGGAAACCGUAUCGGGGGUUCGAAUCCCCCUCUCUCCG
rnacentral:tRNA from 1 species